UUGAACGCUGGCGGCAUGCCUUACACAUGCAAGUCGAACGGCAGCGCGGGGCAACCUGGCGGCGAGUGGCGAACGGGUGAGUAAUAUAUCGGAACGUACCCUGGAGUGGGGGAUAACGUAGCGAAAGUUACGCUAAUACCGCAUACGAUCUAAGGAUGAAAGCAGGGGACCGCAAGGCCUUGUGCUCCUGGAGCGGCCGAUAUCUGAUUAGCUAGUUGGUAGGGUAAAGCCUACCAAGGCAUCGAUCAGUAGCUGGUCUGAGAGGACGACCAGCCACACUGGAACUGAGACACGGUCCAGACUCCUACGGGAGGCAGCAGUGGGGAAUUUUGGACAAUGGGCGCAAGCCUGAUCCAGCCAUGCCGCGUGGAUGAUGAAGGCCCUAGGGUUGUAAAGU
rnacentral:rRNA from 1 species